rnacentral:rRNA from 1 species
AUUGAACGCUGGCGGCAUGCCUUACACAUGCAAGUCGAACGGCAGCACGGGAGCAAUCCUGGUGGCGAGUGGCGAACGGGUGAGUAAUAUAUCGGAACGUGCCCGGUCGUGGGGAUAACGUAGCGAAAGCUACGCUAAUACCGCAUACGAUCUAUGGAUGAAAGCGGGGGAUCGCAAGACCUCGCGCGAUUGGAGCGGCCGAUAUCAGAUUAGGUAGUUGGUGAGGUAAAGGCUCACCAAGCCGACGAUCUGUAGCUGGUCUGAGAGGACGACCAGCCACACUGGGACUGAGACACGGCCCAGACUCCUACGGGAGGCAGCAGUGGGAAUUUGGACAAUGGGCGC